ensembl:lncRNA
UAAUAAGUCACUUUGGUUAAAAGUGUUUCUAAAUGGCAUAUCUUAUGAUAUAAUAAUAUCACUUAGUUGGACUAUACAGGUCCAGAUAUACAGGGUUUAUGUCAAACUUGUGUUCAGGUCCUCUUGGUUCUGGGUUUGUUGUGUUCAGGUCCUCUUGGUUCUGGGUUUGUUGAGUUCAGGUCCUCUUGGUUCUGGGUUUGUUGUGUUCAGGUCCUCUUGGUUCUGGGUUUGGUGUGUUCAGGUCUUCUUGGUUCUGGGUUUGUUGUGUUCAGGUCCUCUUGGUUCUGGGUUUGUUGAGUUCAGGUCCUCUUGGUUCUGGGUUUGUUGUGUUCAGGUCCUCUUGGUUCUGGGUUUGUUGUGUUCAGGUACUCUUGGUUCUGGGUUUGGUGAGUUCAGGUCCUCUUGGUUCAGGGUUUGUUGUGUUCAGGUUCUCUUGGUUCUGGGUUUGUUGCGCUCAGGUCUUCUUGGUUCAGGGUUUGUUGUGUUCAGGUUCUCUUGGUUCUGGGUUUGUUGCGUUCAGGUCUUCUUGGUUCAGGGUUUGUUGUGUUCAGGUUCUCUUGGUUCUGGGUUUGUUGCGUUCAGGUCUUCUUGGUUCUGGGUUUGUUGCGUUCAGGUCUUUUUGGUUCUGGGUUUGUUGCGUUCAGGUCCUCUUGGUUCUGGGUUUGUUGUGUUCAGGUCUUCUGGGUUUGUUGACUCUACUAUAGAUCUCAGAAGAGUCCUCCUCAGCUGCUUGUGCUGCCGUGGGUC